rnacentral:lncRNA from 1 species
GUAGUAAUUAUAGUACUAUUUUGUUUUUUGACUCCUCUGUCUUGAUACGUUUCUGUUAAUCCCUCAUCUUCAUAGCGUUUUGAUUCCUUGGUUGAUUGCUGCUGAAGAUUCUUAGAGAUGUUAUUUAUGUGUAUGGAAACACUGCAUUAAAUGAUUCGUCUUUUUGCUGAAUUUAUUUACCAGGUUACCUUGUGAAGACUUAAAGGAAGAGCCUACAGGGAAUUCAGAGGAAGAGUUUAUCAUUGAUAAAGAAUAUGAUCUUUCUAAAAGGCACCAAUACCAGGAGACUGAUCCCAGGGUCGAGGAUAUAAAUGAGAUUCCUUUGGGCUCAAGGAACUUAUGCUGGUCUGCUAGUUUGCUACAUGGAAAUACAGAUGGGGUAAGCAAUUGAUUGUUCCUUCUCCUUUGUUAAAGGUUCAGUGCCUGCGUGUAACUUUGAUUAAUUAAACGUACAUCGUCAUGGCCCUUAGCUUCAGUUUAUUCAGCAAAGAUAAUAUCUAAAUGUGCAGUUUCCAUUGAGAAGGUUAAAUGUAUAUUUACUUUCACUAAACUAAGUAGUUUUUCUUCUUUUAUGUAAAAGGCUAAAAAUAUAUUAGAUCUGUGAAUAGUCAUGUGAUGUGUACAGACAGGAAAACAAACAAGGUUUCUCAAAUAUAGCAGACGCUGCCGUGUAUUCUAUGGGUCUAAUCUGCUGGCACACACAUGUCAGCAGGGCAAAGUGAGCAAUAGGUCUACAUCAGUCUGUGCAGACUAAGCAGACCUGUCUGCUCAGAUGAUAUAGUGUGGAGAAAGGUACAUUCAAUUGUGCGAAACACUUUAUUAAACAAGGAUUAUUGUAUAGGAAUCUUUCUCCAAAAACCUGUCAUUGACCUUGCUGCAGUUUCCAAGGCAACGGCUGUCUACUAGUCUUUCCUUUUCUUUUCUUUUUUUUUUUUUGAGAGGGCGGUGGUUUGAAUUACUCUGUGGAUCUCUUAAGCUUAGUGAAUUAAGGCACAAAAGUUGAUACAGUUGUUCUAUUAGCCUUUUAAUAAUGAAACCAAACUACUCCAGCAGACUAAGUCUAAAGUAAAAUAUGUUUUGAUGCUAUAUAAUCAGCUAUGCAUUUUACAUUUCUUGUUAGACAUCUUUAAAUAGUCUAGCUAUGCUUCUUUAUUCAGUUGGCUGUGGAGUUAUAUUAUGCCAUGAUGUUUCUAUUUACUAGAAACAUUCUUAUAUCUGAAAUAUACUAACAUGAGAAAUGUCAGGCUUGGACAAUCUCUGAAAUGUUUUCUGAAAGAAACAAAUCUGAAAAGCACUCUGGCAUAGAAUCAGGG